CUCACUCAAUACCAUGUGAUGGUGACUAUCCUUGGUCUCUUGGUGUCUUAGUCUCCUUAGCUAUAGGUUUUCCAAAGAUACGUGUUAAAGGAUGCAAUUUAUCAGUGCCCAGAAAGAAGACUGAAGGUAAGGACGUGUUCAUUAACGGCAGGCCUGGCACCCUAGUGCUGAGCCCCUUCUCCCCCAUCUCGCUCAUUGCACCUCCAACCCCGAUCCCCAGACCAGCAUAAUCAGGUUUGGGAGACUGAAAGGGCUUCAGUUCCGCCUGGCUGCAGGAACCAUAAAUUCCAGACUAGGUCGGAAUUGGAAUAAUCGCAGUCAAAAUACACCCAGAUGCUCUUACACACACAGGCGCGCGCGCAUCCCCAGGCCAUGGGGCGCACGUGAGCCCACGCCCCGCGCGCCCAGCCCUGCCCCUCGCCGGAGCAUCCUCCGCAGCUGCCACAGAAGCCGCCUCCUCCUCCUUCUCCUCCUCGUCCACCUCCUCCUCUUCCUCCUUCUACGGCCACCGCCGCGGCUGCUGUGACUCCCAUCCCCUCUUGUCCUCAUUCCUCUCCCAGUACUUGCUCCUCCUUCCAUCCCCGGCGCCUGCUGCCCGGCGCCGAAGGGCAGAACCCUCGGCAACGGCUCCCCUCUGCUCGGGCCACGAAGAGGCUGGAACAGAACCUGGUGUUCCAGCAAGCAUUUGGCGGAGCUGGUGUGGGGAAGAACAUUCUUUGGGCAAUGCCAGGCAAGAGCAUUUUUGCACUGAGUUUGGAGGCUGUCACUGUCUUGUUGAGUAAACUUGGAUGACUCCCUUCAGCCCUCUAGGCUUUCCUUCCCCCAUGUGUAAAAUGAAGCUGAUAAUGAUCAUUGCUCUCACUGACUGUGAUGGUGUGAUGACAACUAAGAUAAUAUCCCUGCAAGUAUUUUGAGCUCCUUAGAAGAAAGGCUCUAUAUAAACUCAAGGUUAUUAUGAAAGGGAAGUGAAGAAUUAAGGCAAUUAUCUCAAUAGUUCGGGCCCUAGUCCUGUUUUUCUGCUGCCUUAUUGGGCAGUCUGCCUCAGUUCUCUGCUCUGCUUUGACUGCAAAAAACCUAUAUCCUCAUCCAACCUUGCGUGACUCAGUUCUCUGGGGUUACUUCCUUUCACAUCCUGACACUUUCAGCACGGCCUUUAAUUUCCUGGUCCAGAGGUAUCAUCAGUGCAGCCUCAAGGAAAUCCCAUCAAUCUGAAUGCACCCUGCUGACCAGAGAGCCCUGGAGGUGGGAAUUAAAUGUAGUUGGAAAAUUGCUUUUAUCCUUCAGACUCAUCCUCCUGCAGAAGCAGUUCUAAAGGACCAUCUUGGAAGCUGAAUGCUAUGGGGUCCUCUCCAGUGGCCCCAGUGCUCCAUCUGGACCAGAGUCCUGUUCGCAGGAGAGGUUUCUUGACCAGUUUCCAGGGUCCCUUUUGCCAGUAGGAAGUCAUGGCCAUCUUUAAGGAAAUUUAAAGCAAAAGCAAAACCACUCUUAUGACCAUUGACCCUUCCUGAUUCCCGUGACUCUUUGUUAAUUCCUUCUUUUCCUUACAAGCUGCCUUGAAAGGAUAGAGUUCUUGAGGAUUAACCACUGAAUAAUCAUUGCAGACUGGGUUUGAGGUAGAGACUGAGGUGAGGGCAUUAGAGUUAGCAGUCUACCGUGCUCUGUACAUGGACCAGCAAUUUCCCACAUGCAAGCGGCAAGCUUCCAUCGCAGUAGGAAGCAUUUAGGUUCAACCACAAGAGGAAACUGUGUGACUUUAAGAUGUGAUGCUGGAAAGUGAGAGUG
rnacentral:lncRNA from 1 species